rnacentral:rRNA from 1 species
GAUGAACGCUGGCGGCGUGCUUAACACAUGCAAGUCGAACGGAAAGGCCCAAGCUUGCUUGGGUACUCGAGUGGCGAACGGGUGAGUAACACGUGGGUGAUCUGCCCUGCACUUCGGGAUAAGCCUGGGAAACUGGGUCUAAUACCGGAUAGGACGAUGGUUUGGAUGCCAUUGUGGAAAGUUUUUUCGGUGUGGGAUGAGCUCGCGGCCUAUCAGGUUGUUGGUGGGGUAGUGGCCUACCAAGGCGUCGACGGGUAGCCGGCCUGAGAGGGUGUACGGCCACAUUGGGAUUGGGCGACGGCCAAGAGUCCGACGGGAGGCAGCAGGGGGGAAUAUUGCACAAUGGGCGCAAGCCUGAUGCAGGGACGCCGCGGGGGGGAUGACGGCCUUCGGGUUGUAAACUCCUUUCGCUAGGGACGAAGCGUUUUUGUGACGGUACCUGGAGAAGAAGCACCGGCUAACUACGUG